rnacentral:lncRNA from 1 species
GGGGGAGAACACUACAAAGGUGCAGGGAAACACUAGAAAGGUGCAGGGAAACACUACAAAUAAUCAACCACAUAUUCAUUGUGUAGUAUUAUUCAUCACUCCUUGUAUCCUUAAACGCUCUCAAUCCCUUUGAGACUCGUUUAGUUUAGUUUCCCCCAUUUCUGGCUGUGUAGUAUUAUUCACCACUCACGACAUCCCUGAUCAGCGAAUAACCUCCAGUUACCCUAGACCAGUUGAGUAUUCGUAACACUCUUAGUACUCAGCUUCCUGCCGAAAUUUCCUUAAGUAUUAACAUCACUUCUGGUACUCAACUACCUCGCCGAGAUUUCCUUGAGUUUCACCCAUUCCUAGUUGUGCAAUAUUCUUC